ANNUGCAGUCGACGAUGAAGGGAGCUUGCUCCUGGAUUAGUGGCGAACGGGUGAGUAACACGUGAGUAACCUGCCCUUAACUCUGGGAUAAGCCUGGGAAACUGGGUCUAAUACCGGAUAUGACUCCUCAUCGCAUGGUGGGGGGUGGAAAGCUUUUUGUGGUUUUGGAUGGACUCGCGGCCUAUCAGCUUGUUGGUGAGGUAAUGGCUUACCAAGGCGACGACGGGUAGCCGGCCUGAGAGGGUGACCGGCCACACUGGGACUGAGACACGGCCCAGACUCCUACGGGAGGCAGCAGUGGGGAAUAUUGCACAAUGGGCGCAAGCCUGAUGCAGCGACGCCGCGUGAGGGAUGACGGCCUUCGGGUUGUAAACCUCUUUCAGUAGGGAAGAAGCGAAAGUGACGGUACCUGCAGAAGAAGCGCCGGCUAACUACGUGCCAGCAGCCGCGGUAAUACGUAGGGCGCAAGCGUUAUCCGGAAUUAUUGGGCGUAAAGAGCUCGUAGGCGGUUUGUCGCGUCUGCCGUGAAAGUCCGGGGCUCAACUCCGGAUCUGCGGUGGGUACGGGCAGACUAGAGUGAUGUAGGGGAGACUGGAAUUCCUGGUGUAGCGUNAA
rnacentral:rRNA from 1 species